rnacentral:tRNA from 1 species
GCCCUUAUCGUCUAGCGGUCAGGACAUCUCCCUUUCACGGAGAAAAUGGGGAUUCGAGUUCCCCUAAGGGUU